rnacentral:rRNA from 1 species
UACGUAGGACCCGAGCGUUGUCCGGAUUUACUGGGUGUAAAGGGUGCGCAGGCGGACUGGUAAGUCAGAGGUGAAAUCUCGUCGCUUAACGACGAAACUGCCUUUGAUACUAUCAGUCUUGAAUCCGGUAGAGAUCUGUGGAAUUCCGAGUGUAGCAGUGAAAUGUGUAGAUAUUCGGAAGAACACCAGUGGCGAAGGCAGCAGAUUGGGCCGGUAUUGACGCUCAGGCACGAAAGCAUGGGGAUCAAACAGG